AACGAACGCUGGCGGCAUGCCUAACACAUGCAAGUCGAACGAGACCUUCGGGUCUAGUGGCGCACGGGUGCGUAACGCGUGGGAACCUGCCUUUAGGUUCGGAAUAACUCAGAGAAAUUUGAGCUAAUACCGGAUAAUGUCUUCGGACCAAAGAUUUAUCGCCUUUAGAUGGGCCCGCGUUGGAUUAGCUAGUUGGUGGGGUAAAGGCCUACCAAGGCGACGAUCCAUAGCUGGUCUGAGAGGAUGAUCAGCCACACUGGGACUGAGACACGGCCCAGACUCCUACGGGAGGCAGCAGUGGGGAAUAUUGGACAAUGGGCGAAAGCCUGAUCCAGCAAUGCCGCGUGAGUGAUGAAGGCCUUAGGGUUGUAAAGCACUUUAAGCGGGGAGGAAGGCUCUAUGGCUAAUAUCCAUGGGGAUUGACGUUACCCGCAGAAUAAGCACCGGCAAACUUCGUGCCAGCAGCCGCGGUAAU
rnacentral:rRNA from 1 species